rnacentral:rRNA from 1 species
UACGUAGGCAGCGAGCGUUGUUCGGAGUUACUGGGCGUAAAGGGUGUGUAGGCGGUUUUCUAAGUUUGGUGUGAAAUCUCCCGGCUCAACCGGGAGGGUGCGCCGAAAACUGGGAGACUAGAGUGCGGGAUGGGAGAGUAGAAUUCCUGGUGUAGCGGUGAAAUGCGUAGAUAUCAGGAGGAACACCUGCGGUGUAGACGGCUUACUGGACCACCACUGACGCUGAGGCACGAAAGCGUGGGUAGCAAACAGG